GAUGAACGCUGGCGGCGUGCCUAAUACAUGCAAGUCGAGCGAACGGACGAGAAGCUUGCUUCUCUGAUGUUAGCGGCGGACGGGUGAGUAACACGUGGAUAACCUACCUAUAAGACUGGGAUAACUUCGGGAAACCGGAGCUAAUACCGGAUAAUAUUUUGAACCGCAUGGUUCAAAAGUGAGAGACGGUCUUGCUGUCACUUAUAGAUGGAUCCGCGCUGCAUUAGCUAGUUGGUAAGGUAACGGCUUACCAAGGCAACGAUGCAUAGCCGACCUGAGAGGGUGAUCGGCCACACUGGAACUGAGACACGGUCCAGACUCCUACGGGAGGCAGCAGUAGGGAAUCUUCCGCAAUGGGCGAAAGCCUGACGGAGCAACGCCGCGUGAGUGAUGAAGGUCUUCGGAUCGUAAAACUCUGUUAUUAGGGAAGAACAUAUGUGUAAGUAACUGUGCACAUCUUGACGGUACCUAAUCAGAAAGCAACGGCUAACUACGUG
rnacentral:rRNA from 1 species